GAAUAAUUAAAGGAUUAGUGGACUAAAUUGGACGAAAGAAAAGUUAGAAGUUAGAGGUUGAGGAGGUGGCAAACUCAAGGACUAAAGGAGACUUUUGUCUCAUUUAUCUAAGCCACUUGCAUAUGAGUUUAAACUCAGCAAGCUUAUCAUUUUCAGCUCCCAAAUUUCGUACUCCAUCCUUUCUCCAUGGAAGAUCAUCAACCAAAUUUCAAAGGAGCAUAACUUCUUCGUUUCUCAACGAAAUUGGACGAUUCUUGUGGCCACGGAACGAGAAGAAGGAGAGCUACUGAUCUAGCCCUAUUGUUCAAGGUGUUCUUGAGUUGAAUUGAAGCAAAGUUGAUGGUGAAUUUGAGCUUGAAGUGUUUGGCCAUGAUCAACAAUCCAAGGUGAGACUCGACGAAGCGACUAUCGACAAGGCUUGAGGGGAACGGAUCGAGGUGUCUUCGUGUUUAUUUAAAGAUUAUGGAUAGCAAGUGGUGAGUACACUUUAAAUUACUCGUCAAUAUUCAUAAAGCCGCAUAUUUUAUUACGAAAGGCUAUAUGAAUAUUUAUAUAUUUGAAAUGUUUGUUUUUAAAAAUGUAUACGUAUGUGUGUUUCGAAAA